GCGUGAGUGAAGAAGGCCUUAGGGUUGUAAAGCUCUUUUACCAGGGAUGAUAAUGACAGUACCUGGAGAAUAAGCCCCGGCUAACUCCGUGCCAGCAGCCGCGGUAAUACGGAGGGGGCUAGCGUUGUUCGGAAUUACUGGGCGUAAAGCGCGCGUAGGCGGCUUUCCAAGUCAGGGGUGAAAUCCCGGGGCUCAACCCCGGAACUGCCCUUGAAACUGGAUCGCUAGAAUCUUGGAGAGGUGAGUGGAAUUCCGAGUGUAGAGGUGAAAUUCGU
rnacentral:rRNA from 1 species